UUUCCGUAGGUGAACCUGCGGAAGGAUCAUUAACGAGUUAGGGUCUUCUAGGCCCGACCUCCCAACCCUAUGUUUAUUGAACCUCUGUUGCUUCGGCGGACCCGCCUCACGGCCGCCGGAGGACCGCUGCAAGGCGUCCUCUGGCCAGCGUCCGCCGAUGGCAACCACUUAAACUCUGAAUGAAUCGUGUCAUAUGUCUAAGUCUAUGAUUAAAUUAAAGCAAAACUUUCAACAACGGAUCUCUUGGUUCUG
rnacentral:misc_RNA from 1 species